rnacentral:rRNA from 1 species
GUGUCAGCCGCCGCGGUAAUACAGAGGGUGCAAGCGUUAAUCGGAAUUACUGGGCGUAAAGCGUGCGUAGGUGGUUCGUUAAGUCAGAUGUGAAAUCCCCGGGCUCAACCUGGGAACUGCAUUUGAUACUGGCGAGCUAGAGUUUGGGAGAGGGUAGUGGAAUUCCAGGUGUAGCGGUGAAAUGCGUAGAUAUCUGGAGGAACACCAAUGGCGAAGGCAGCUACCUGGCCUAAAACUGACACUGAGGUACGAAAGCGUGGGGAGCAAACAGGAUUAGAAACCCGGGUAGUCC